GCUCGGGUGGUGGAAUUGGUAGACACGUACGCUUGAGGGGCGUAUGCUUAUGGCGUGGGGGUUCAAGUCCCCCCUCGAGCACCA
rnacentral:tRNA from 1 species